UGUUUCGGCUAGGGGGUCAUCCCGACUUACCAACCCGAUGCAAACUACGAAUACCGAAGAAUGUUAUCACGGGAGACACACGGCGGGUGCUAACGUCCGUCGUGAAGAGGGAAACAACCCAGACCGCCAGCUAAGGUCCCAAAGUCACAGUUAAGUGGGAAACGAUGUGGGAAGGCACAGACAGCCAGGAUGUUGGCUUAGAAGCAGCCAUCAUUUAAAGAAAGCGUAAUAGCUCACUGGUCGAGUCGGCCUGCGCGGAAGAUGUAACGGGGCUAAACUGUGCACCGAAGCUGCGGCAGCGACACUAUGUGUUGUUGGGUAGGGGAGCGUUCUGUAAGCCUGCGAAGGUGGCCUGUGAGGGUUGCUGGAGGUAUCAGAAGUGCGAAUGCUGACAUAAGUAACGAUAAUGCGGGUGAAAAGCCCGCACGCCGGAAGACCAAGGGUUCCUGUCCAACGUUAAUCGGGGCAGGGUGAGUCGACCCCUAAGGCGAGGCCGAAAGGCGUAGUCGAUGGGAAACAGGUUAAUAUUCCUGUACUUGGUGUUACUGCGAAGGGGGGACGGAGAAGGCUAUGUUAGCCGGGCGACGGUUGUCCCGGUUUAAGCAUGUAGGCGGAGGUUCCAGGUAAAUCCGGUACCUUUUUAACGCUGAGGUGUGAUGACGAGGCACUACGGUGCUGAAGUAACAAAUGCCCUGCUUCCAGGAAAAGCCUCUAAGCAUCAGGUAACAUUAAAUCGUACCCCAAACCGACACAGGUGGUCAGGUAGAGAAUACCAAGGCGCUUGAGAGAACUCGGGUGAAGGAACUAGGCAAAAUGGUGCCGUAACUUCGGGAGAAGGCACGCUGAUAUGUAGGUGAAGCCCCUGCGGGUGGAGCUGAAAUCAGUCGAAGAUACCAGCUGGCUGCAACUGUUUAUUAAAAACACAGCACUGUGCAAACACGAAAGUGGACGUAUACGGUGUGACGCCUGCCCGGUGCCGGAAGGUUAAUUGAUGGGGUUAUCCGUAAGGAGAAGCUCUUGAUCGAAGCCCCGGUAAACGGCGGCCGUAACUAUAACGGUCCUAAGGUAGCGAAAUUCCUUGUCGGGUAAGUUCCGACCUGCACGAAUGGCGUAAUGAUGGCCAGGCUGUCUCCACCCGAGACUCAGUGAAAUUGAACUCGCUGUGAAGAUGCAGUGUACCCGCGGCAAGACGGAAAGACCCCGUGAACCUUUACUAUAGCUUGACACUGAACAUUGAGCCUUGAUGUGUAGGAUAGGUGGGAGGCUUUGAAGCGUGGACGCCAGUCUGCGUGGAGCCAACCUUGAAAUACCACCCUUUAAUGUUUGAUGUUCUAACGUUGGCCCCUUAUCGGGGUUGCGGACAGUGUCUGGUGGGUAGUUUGACUGGGGCGGUCUCCUCCCAAAGAGUAACGGAGGAGCACGAAGGUUAGCUAAUCCUGGUCGGACAUCAGGAGGUUAGUGCAAUGGCAUAAGCUAGCUUGACUGCGAGCGUGACGGCGCGAGCAGGUGCGAAAGCAGGUCAUAGUGAUCCGGUGGUUCUGAAUGGAAGGGCCAUCGCUCAACGGAUAAAAGGUACUCCGGGGAUAACAGGCUGAUACCGCCCAAGAGUUCAUAUCGACGGCGGUGUUUGGCACCUCGAUGUCGGCUCAUCACAUCCUGGGGCUGAAGUAGGUCCCAAGGGUAUGGCUGUUCGCCAUUUAAAGUGGUACGCGAGCUGGGUUUAGAACGUCGUGAGACAGUUCGGUCCCUAUCUGCCGUGGGCGCUGGAGAAUUGAGGGGGGCUGCUCCUAGUACGAGAGGACCGGAGUGGACGCAUCACUGGUGUUCGGGUUGUCAUGCCAAUGGCAUUGCCCGGUAGCUAAAUGCGGAAGAGAUAAGUGCUGAAAGCAUCUAAGCACGAAACUUGCCCCGAGAUGAGUUCUCCCUGAGACUUUAAGU
rnacentral:rRNA from 1 species